GACGAACGCUGGCGGCGUGCCUAAUACAUGCAAGUGGAACGCACAGUUUAUACCGUAGCUUGCUACACCAUAGACUGUGAGUUGCGAACGGGUGAGUAACGCGUAGGUAACCUGCCUGGUAGCGGGGGAUAACUAUUGGAAACGAUAGCUAAUACCGCAUAAUAUUAAUUAUUGCAUGAUAAUUAAUUGAAAGGUGCAAUUGCACCACUACCAGAUGGACCUGCGUUGUAUUAGCUAGUAGGUGAGGUAACGGCUCACCUAGGCGACGAUACAUAGCCGACCUGGAGGGGGGAUCGGCCACACGGGGAAUGAGAAACGGCCCGAACUCCUACGGGGGGCAGCAGUAGGGAAUCUUCGGCAAGGGACGAAAGUCUGACCGAGCAACGCCGGGGGAGGGAAGAAGGUUUUCGGAUCGUAAAGCUUUGUUGUAAGGGAAGAACGGGUGUGGGAGUGGAAAGUUCACACUGGGACGGUAUUUUACCAGAAAGGGACGGCUAACUACGG
rnacentral:rRNA from 1 species